rnacentral:rRNA from 1 species
CCUACGGGUGGCUGCAGUGAGGAAUAUUGGUCAAUGGGCGGGAGCCUGAACCAGCCAAGUCGCGUGAGGGAAGACGGUCCUAUGGAUUGUAAACCUCUUUAGGCGGGGAGCAACGGGCGCCACGUGUGGCGUCACUGAGAGUACCCGGAGAAAAAGCAUCGGCUAACUCCGUGCCAGCAGCCGCGGUAAUACGGAGGAUGCGAGCGUUAUCCGGAUUUAUUGGGUUUAAAGGGUGCGUAGGCGGAUCGUUAAGUCAGUGGUCAAAUUGAGGGGCUCAACCCCUUCCCGCCAUUGAAACUGGCGUUCUUGAGUGGAAGAGAAGUAUGCGGAAUGCGUGGUGUAGCGGUGAAAUGCAUAGAUAUCACGCAGAACCCCGAUUGCGAAGGCAGCAUGCCGGCUUCCGACUGACGCUGAAGCACGAAAGCGUGGGGAUCGAACAGGAUUAGAUACCCCAGUAGUC